CUUUUGGACACUUUAUUUGGCUGGAGUGAAUUUGAAACUAUGAAGUUGAAUAUUCAUUUAUAAAAUGAAUGUUAGAGAUCUGAUCAGUUGAGUAAUAUUGGUGCAAAAGGAUUAAUGUAGAAGGUGUAAUUAAGCUCGGUUGAGCAAAGUCAAUGCAUGGUUUGGAGGGACUGCCAGAGUACGGUCAGUAAGUUGUAGGGAGAUGAGCUACUUAUAUAGAAGAAGCAAGUAAAUCAUCCAAAGGUGAUUGAUAGAAUCAAAUAGUACUUCAGGUGAUUCUACUUUUGGAAGGAGAACUAUUGGCAACGCCAAGAAAGGUUCUAACUUUGCUUUAAUUGGAUCAUCGUUUAGCUUCUUAUUCUUUUCAGUUGCUAGUUUCCAUUGAACUUUCCUUGAUUGUGUGCGAAGUGAAAGAUAUAGAAAUAUGAUUUGAUAAAUGAUACAUGAAUCCAUAGCUUUGGCAUGAAAACG
rnacentral:misc_RNA from 1 species